GCUGGGCGUGGUGGCACAUGCCUGUAAUUCCAGCUACUUGGGAAGCUGAGGCAGGAGAAUCGCUAGAACCCAGGAGGUAGAAGUCACAGUGAGACAAGAUCGCUCCACUGCACUCCAGCCUGGGCAGCAAGAGCAAAAUGCCGUCUCAAAAAAAAAAAAAAAAAAAAAAAANNNNNNNNNNCUGUCGCCCAGGCUGGAGUGCAGUGGAGCGAUCUUGUCUCACUGUGACUUCUACCUCCUGGGUUCUAGCGAUUCUCCUGCCUCAG
rnacentral:SRP_RNA from 1 species